UAUUGCGCAAUGGAGGAAACUCUGACGCAGUGACGCCGCGUAUAGGAAGAAGUUUUUCGGAAUGUAAACUAUUGUCGUUAGGGAAGAGAAAGGACAGUACCUAAGGAGGAAGCUCCGGCUAACUACGUGCCAGCAGCCGCGGUAAUACGUAGGUGGCAAGCGUUAUCCGGAUUUAUUGGGUGUAAAGGGCGUGUAGGCGGGAAUGCAAGUCAGAUGUGAAAACUAUGGGCUCAACCCAUAGCCUGCAUUUGAAACUGUAUUUCUUGGGUGCUGGAGAGGCAAUCGGAAUUCCGUGUGUAGCGGUGAAAUGCGUAGAUAUACGGAGGAACACCAGUGGCGAAGGCGGAUUGCUGGACAGUAACUGACGCUGAGGCGCGAAAGCGUGGGGAGCAAACAGG
rnacentral:rRNA from 1 species